rnacentral:misc_RNA from 1 species
AAGUCGUAACAAGGUAACCGUAGGUGAACCUGCGGUUGGAUCAUUAAAAAUUUAAACAGCCUGUCACUGCCAGGUUUUCAGAUUGUACAGCACCGGGCAAGGGAUUGUCCGUGCUGGCCAGGCUGGACCGAGUGCAGUGACUGAUGGCACCACAUUUUGUGAACCGUUCUGUCUUUGGUGGUUGGGUGAAACGCUUUCUUUGGCCUUCGCCUGUCAGCUCUGAUGUAAAAAGUCCGAGCCGUGGACAAGCCACCGACCCUUUGUUUAAACCUUUGUCUUCUAUUCUUUUUUGUCUGACAUUUUUAUUUGUAUUAAUAUACAAACAACUUUUGGCAACGGAUCUCUUGGGUCUC